AGGCUGGUCCCAGGUCUGUAGGUGCUGUAUAGUCAGCUUCUAUAGCCACUGUAGGCUGGUCCCAGGUCUGUAGGUGCUGUAUAGUCAGCUGCUAU